UCUCUGACUAAUUUCGCUUAGCAUAAUACCCUCCAGUUCCAUCCACAUAGUUGUAUAGUUUCUUUUAUAAGUCAGUGGAUGAAAGGUUCAAGCUCUAAGAAUCAGACAUCAAUAAAAAGUUCAGCAAAGCCCUUUAUUUUCUAUAGAUUAAUAUUAAACAACCAGAAUUUACAUACACAGAUAAUUUGCAGACAUUUCUCAGCCAUCCCAUGAAGGUAUCCAUUUCUGAUUGGUGAACUUCAAAAGCGUGAACAGAGAAUAUUAAGACCUGUCCCUCAGUUUUAACAUGAGAGGACAAAAAUAAGAAAAAGAGACCUGUCCAUAGUCAGGCUGCUGUACACAAUUGUGUCACUGUAUCUCUCACUUGAUGCAAUAUUUAUCCAACAUGUAUCCAAUUAUAGCUCUUUUUUCACAUUUGGAGCACUGAGUAAAAGGCUUCCUCAAGUCUCUGACAUUAACUUAGAUGAAUCAUCUCCUCUAGAGACUGCUCUUACUAGCUCUGCUACAAUCUAUCAGUGACCUUUUUCCACACCAAUCAAUUCCCAGAAGAAUACAUUGUCACAUGACAAAUGACGAAGAAAGUUCCCAAAUGGCUUCUGCAGGUUUAACUGGCAGUCCCCGGAUUAAAGAUUUACUCAACUCUUCCUGGAAAAUCAAGGCACUGAAGAAUUGAGAACACUUCACUCACUCAUUUAUUGGAACAACACAUCUAUUACUGACACCUUGCCGAGGAAGGGGAAUCUUACUUGAUCUUUGCCUAAACUCUCCCCUAAACUCUCAGAGCUGUGCCUGAAGAGGCAUGCGGGGAAUCAUGCACAUGCUGACAGUGGGAUGCCAGAGAUAAAGAAAAAUGGAAUCAUCACCAUUAGACCUAUCCUGCAAAAAAUGGAAAAGAUUUUAUUGAGGAAAUAAGAAAAAUGAUACAGGUCAAAAAUGUGGAUUUAUAUAAAAAAGGAAGUGCAUCAGAGAAGAAAUGCAUAAAGGUAAAUAAAGUUAAUUUUUAUCGUUUUUAAUAGAUCAAAAGUAACUUGUUUAUAUAAUUAAAUGUAUUUAUCUUUUUCUUAAUAAAUGGCAAAUAAAUGUUUAAAUAAUGAGUUAUAAUGUAUAUGGUGAUUAUAGCAUAUGAAAAAGUGAAAAGAACGGCAUUCAUGUAAAAAGGGGAAGGAAUAGUGUCAUUUACCUGCCCAAUUUGUCAUUUGCAGGUGUCAUUUGAAUGUGGCCUUACGUUAGUUUAAAAUCUAUGUGUCACCUCUAAGGAAAGCUCUAAAAUGUUUUUAAAGACCUGUAAUUGAUGCACUAAGAAGUGAAAAAAACUGGCUUUAUAUAAAAUGUUCAAUUAAAACCAGAGAACGCAGGAAAGUAAGCUUCUUGUAAUGAGUAGAAAACAGCUACAAACAUGGUUGAUAUCAAUGCAAGUGUUUCAAUAAGCACUUUAAAUAGGAAUGGUGUAUAAAUAGCAAUCAAAAUUCACAGUGAAUUUUAUUACAAGUGUAUAUUGUCCUCAAGCACCUAUUUGCAAUUCAGUGAUUCCGAUAGGCUAAAGUAAAGGUAUGGAGAAAGACACACCAUGCUAACAGUAAGCUAAGGAACUCUAGAGAAUUUAUAUUAAUUUUAUACUGUCAGGGGCAUAAAACUCACAGAAAUUGGCAGAACUGUCACAACCACAAGAAGUCUAAGAUGGUACAACUACUAAAUAUGAGUUAGUAUCCUUGAUGGGAUCUUAGAACACAAAAAGAACAUUAGCAAAAACCUGAGAAAGUCUGAAUGAAGUAUAGUCUUUGGUUAAUGAUAAUGUAUCAAUAUCAGUUUUGUUAAUGUUGUAAAUGUGCCUCGCUAACAUAAAAUCAUAGUAAUAGGGAAAUGAGAUUUUGGGGUAUAUGGGAAUUGUCUUUACUCUCUUCAUAGUAAUUAUGCAAAUGUGAAAGUUUUAAAAUGUAAGAUUUAUUUUUAAGAUUCUCCUAUGAUUUGUUUCCCUCUCUCUCUUUUUCCCCCUCCUGUAUAGUCAUCUGUUUGG